AUUCCAGCUCCAAUAGCGUAUAUUAAAGCUGUUGCAGUUAAAAAGCUCGUAGUUGGAGUUCAGAGUGAGCUCAAUCGGUCGGGAUUAUGUCUCAGAACUGGUUGACUCUCUCUUGUUUGUGGAUCCUGUUCGGAGUUAACUCUUCGGAUGUGGAGUCCACAUCGUUUACCUUGAAAAAAUUAGAGUGUUCAAAGCAGGCGUUUGCUUGAAUAUAUUAGCAUGGAAUAAUGGAAUAGGACGCUGGUUCUAUUUUGUUGGUUUUGAGAACCAGAGUAAUGAUUAAUAGGGACAGUUGGGGGCAUUCAUAUUUCAUUGUCAGAGGUGAAAUUCUUGGAUUUAUGAAAGAUGAACUUCUGCGAAAGCAUUUGCCAAGGAUGUUUUCAUUA
rnacentral:rRNA from 1 species